rnacentral:tRNA from 1 species
GGCUCGUUGGUCUAGGGGUAUGAUUCCUGCUUCGGGUGCAGGAGGUCCCGGGUUCAAAACCCGGACGAGCCC